GUUGUAUGGUUAAGUGACUAAGCGUACACGGUGGAUGCCUGGGCAGUCAGAGGCGAUGAAGGACGUACUAACUUGCGAUAAGCGUAGAUGAGGCAGUAAGAGCCACUUGAGUCUACGAUUUCCGAAUGGGGAAACCCAGCUGCAUAAGCAGUUAUCUCAAUGUGAAUUCAUAGCAUUGUGAGGCGAACCGGGGGAACUGAAACAUCUAAGUACCCCGAGGAAGAGAAAUCAACCGAGAUUCCGGCAGUAGCGGCGAGCGAAACCGGAUUAGCCCUUAAGCUAAUCUUGCGUUAGGUGAACAUGCUGGAAAGCAUGGCAAUAAAGGGUGAUAGCCCCGUAACCAACAGCGCAUUUUCAGUGAAAUCGAGUAGGACGGGACACGUGUUAUCCUGUCUGAAUAUGGGGGGACCAUCCUCCAAGGCUAAAUACUCCUGACUGACCGAUAGUGAACCAGUACCGUGAGGGAAAGGCGAAAAGUACCCCUGUGAGGGGAGUGAAAUAGAACCUGAAACCGUGUACGUACAAGCAGUAGGAGCAGGCUUGUCCUGUGACUGCGUACCUUUUGUAUAAUGGGUCAGCGACUUAAUUUUAGUAGCAAGGUUAACCAUCUAGGGGAGCCGUAGGGAAACCGAGUCUUAACUGGGCGUCAUAGUUGCUAGGAUUAGACCCGAAACCGAGUGAUCUAGCCAUGGGCAGGUUGAAGAUUGAGUAACAUCAAUUGGAGGACCGAACCGACUAAUGUUGAAAAAUUAGCGGAUGACUUGUGGCUAGGGGUGAAAGGCCAAUCAAACUCGGAGAUAGCUGGUUCUCCCCGAAAGCUAUUUAGGUAGCGCCUCGGACGAAUACUACUGGGGGUAGAGCACUGUUAAGGCUAGGGGGUCAUCCCGACUUACCAACCCUUUGCAAACUCCGAAUACCAGUAAGUACUAUCCGGGAGACACACGGCGGGUGCUAACGUCCGUCGUGAAGAGGGAAACAACCCAGACCGCCAGCUAAGGUCCCAAAGUUAUAGCUAAGUGGGAAACGAUGUGGGAAGGCUCAGACAGCCAGGAUGUUGGCUUAGAAGCAGCCAUCAUUUAAAGAAAGCGUAAUAGCUCACUGGUCGAGUCGGCCUGCGCGGAAGAUUUAACGGGGCUAAGCUAUACACCGAAGCUGCGGCAAUGUGCU
rnacentral:rRNA from 1 species